rnacentral:rRNA from 1 species
GUCUUAGCCGUAAACGAUGGACACUGGGUGUCGGCUCCGUUAGGAGUCGGUGCCGCAGCCAACGCGCUAAGUGUCCCACCUGAGGAGUACGGCCGCAAGGUUGAAACUCAAAGGAAUUGACGGGGCCAGCACAAGCGGUGGAACAUGUGGUUCAAUUCGAUGCUACGCGAAGAACCUUACCCAGGCUUGACAUGCUUGAAGUAGGAACCUGAAAGGGUGACGACUCGUAACCAGUCGAGAACUUGCACAGGUGCUGCAUGGCUGUCGU